CAGUCGCCGCGGUAAUACAGAGGGUGCAAGCGUUAAUCGGAUUUACUGGGCGUAAAGGGCGCGUAGGUGGUUAUUUAAGUGAGAUGUGAAAGCCCCGGGCUUAACCUGGGAACUGCAUCUUAUACUGGGUAACUGGAGUGCAGUAGAGGGUAGUGGAAUUUCCGGUGUAGCGGUGAAAUGCGUAGAUAUCGGAAGGAACACCAGUGGCGAAGGCGGCUACCUGGACUGAGACUGACACUGAGGCGCGAGAGCGUGAGGAGCAAACAGGAUUAGAUACCCCAGUAGUCCCUGUCUCUUAUAC
rnacentral:rRNA from 1 species